GAUGAAGAACGUAGCAAAAUGCGAUAAGUAAUGUGAAUUGCAGAAUUCAGUGAAUCAUCGAAUCUUUGAACGCACAUUGCGCCCGCUGGUAUUCCGGCGGGCAUGCCUGUCCGAGCGUCAUUUCAACCCUCAAGCACUGCUUGGCGUUGGCGGAUUGCGUGCCCUCGCGGCGCCGCAACCGCCCAAAUACAGUGGCGGUCCCGCUGCGGCUCCCUUUGCGUAGUAACUCACCUCGCACUGGACCGGGCGGCGGCCUGCCGUAAAACCCCAACUCACGAAAUGUUGACCUCGGAUCAGGUAGGAAUACCCGCUGAACUUAAGCAUAUCAAUAAGCGGAGGA
rnacentral:misc_RNA from 1 species